AUGCCCUUGUCUAUGAGUAGGAAACAUGAAUUCAGAGGAAGCUGCACAAAUUCCCAGAAGAACUACAAGGUCUUUAGCUUCAUCUUCUGCAUAAAUUUCUGCUUUAUCUUUAGUUAAGUUUUGUUUGCUUUCUAUUUUUUUUUGGUCUUUAGUUUCAUCCUAUAUUAUUAUUAGUUAACUGGUUUCAAUUUUGUUCCUUGGGUUUGAUUUUCUUCUCUAAAAUCCCUCGUUGAAUCAUGGAUAAGAGCAUGUUAGCUGGUUUGGAAUCACUUCUAGAAGCUG